UACUCCGUCUGAGCAAGGUGCAGGUGCACAAAUGAUAGAUAAAGAGUAGAAAAAAAAUGAGAAAAUGUAACAUGAAAAGAAAAAAAUGUGUUGUUCACUGUGUCAGCAUUUACACUUUAAUUUUCAAAAAGACUUGAGGAUGAGUGACUUGACCAUUUGGCUGCACUUCAUGAAAGCAGCCUGUUCUGUCUGAGCUGUGGAGGUGAACAGUCCAAGGCCAGUGGGAGUGAGAACAGUUUGGCUUAAACACAGCUGGAUGUUCCCACAAGCUAACCUGGGAGGACCUGCCUGAAAAAUAACCAUGUUUGUGUCCCUGCAUGAAAAAACCCUGACUUCGCUUCCGUGGGGGGAACAGAAGGCAGAUACGACACCUGGGACAGGAUGGAGGAAGUUAAAGAGAGCAAGAUCACCGCUAUGACAACUAUGUCAAGACAAGACCGGGGGGACGUGGACAGACUGCCAAAGCACACUGCCAGAGAUGGCACGCAUACCAAGGUCAGGACACAAAUCCUCAAGCGAAGGAAAGCCCGGUGCCAACCCCCUCCAGAAAGAAGCAAUGUAAACUUUUUCGACUCCCCUACAGAUUCCCUGCAUACCACAGACCCAUGGGCAGAUGUUAUGCAUUAUCGCAUCUCUCUGCAGUCUCUGUCCCGAACACUGAUCCAAUCCUCACAAGGUUGUUGUGGGUGCAAAGGAGGACUAUAGGAUGCAUGAGGGAUGAAUCAGCUCGGCCUUUCAUGUGACCGGGGGGAUUGCCUCGCAGCAGGCUGUCACAGUCACACACACAAACACACACACACACACACACACACACACACACACACACACACACACACACACACACACACACACACACACACACACACACACACACACACACACACACACACACACACACACACACACACACACACACACAGAGAGCAGCUACAAAUUAAUUCGCUCCAACAACAACCCCUGUCCUCGCCUGCUGCAACACGCUCUGCCAGCACUCGCAAUCAACCAGCGAAUUCCUUCCGCUCGGAGCAGUGAGCAGGAGGUGAGGGGACGGAGGGUUUGUGGGCUCACUGUUGUGAUUGUGAUGUUGUGUAAUUGACAGGUAGGUUUGAAUCCAGAGUCUGAUGCAAACAUCAACGCCGCCCAUUCCCCUUCUGGGGUUGGACAACGAGCAUGUUUGCUUCGAGGAACGUGAAAAAACAUGCCAAGAUGACAGGGCCAUUCAGAGAUGACAGGGUUAUUCUUUUGCUUAAACACACAUUGCAGAAAAUCAUUGAUACCAUGCAUGUGUGAACCAAAGACCAUAUGAUCCAAGAUGUUUCCAUCCAUUUGACUUAUCUGGUUCACUUAGAUGCUACAUUAAAAAAAAACAAGGGAACAACUUGGUGACCCCUGGAAUAAGCUGACUUUAAUUCAAAAUACUGAAACAAGACAAGUAGCUCUGCUUUAAGUCAGCAUGACAUUAUUUUGCUCCAUAAGCGAAGAAGAAAACCUGAUCAAAGCUGAGCAGCUGUCAGCCUCUCCUUUGUCUUUGCAGGAAUGAGGGGCAGAGCUGUGAGGCUUUACAAACAGCUGCCCUGCAGCCGGCUGCUGCUGCCUAGCAGACUGUCAGCUGUGCUUUCUCUUUCACUGUGCUAAGGGUGACAUAAAAUAUGGAUAUAUUUUUACUGCGGUGUCCUACAACCAUUGUUUUCAUUGACUUCUGAAUGAAAAAAAAAAUCUAUUGCGAGAGUCUUUCAUGCUCUGUGUUAAUUUAACCUUUAUCUGCUACACAAAGACAGCAAUCAUCAAGACAGGAAUGUUUUCUAAAGACAGAGACUCCUCUUUCCUCCUUCCUUCCUCUCUCUCUUUAUGAAAUGCCUUCAACAAGGCUGAAGUCCAUAAUUGAUUCUCUCUAUUAUGAGCAGACCUGUCCCCUGCACCUGGGGCCAACACGCUCCUCUGUAGUCUUAUCAGCCCUCGAGUAAACCAGCCCCUAAAAGUGGGGGCUGCUUUAAUCCGCAUCUUGCAGACACACAUACGCGCUCUCAUGGGAGUACCCCACAGCCGACAGUACACCAGACAGCGCCUUGAGCUGCCUGGCAGCAAUGUAAAACAGAGACAGAUGGAGAGGCAAAACCUGACACAAAAGUAGCUAAUCAAAGGCAAGUUAGGAACAGUGAGAAAUCAAGCGAGGCAUUUUAAACCUUCAGUUUAUAAAAAGGAGCAUUUUCCUAUAUGAAAAAAAAAAAACCCUAUAUGUGAAAUUAAAAGUAUUGAGAGCUUCCUGGAUCAUUUAAAAUCACAAGUGCAUCAUUUGCAAGACAUCACUUACCCUAACUGUAACACAAGGGAGUGAAGACAGACUUUGACAUGAUAUCAGUGUGACUCCAUGAACGAAGCUCUGCCACAUAACCAGAUUGGCAGCAGCACGCUCUCGCCUGACAGGAGGAGAGGUGACAGUGGAGACUGAAGAGGAGGACAGAGAGGAGGAGGAGGAGGAGGAGGAACAUGGUCAGAAUUCAAAGAAUCACAGAGAAAACAUACA